rnacentral:rRNA from 1 species
AGUGAACGCUGGCGGUAGGCCUAACACAUGCAAGUCGAACGGCAGCACAGGAGAGCUUGCUCUCUGGGUGGCGAGUGGCGGACGGGUGAGGAAUACGUCGGAAUCUACUCUGUCGUGGGGGAUAACGUAGGGAAACUUACGCUAAUACCGCAUACGACCUACGGGUGAAAGCAGGGGACCUUCGGGCCUUGCGCGAUUGAAUGAGCCGAUGUCGGAUUAGCUAGUUGGCGGGGUAAAGGCCCACCAAGGCGACGAUCCGUAGCUGGUCUGAGAGGAUGAUCAGCCACACUGGAACUGAGACACGGUCCAGACUCCUACGGGAGGCAGCAGUGGGGAAUAUUGGACAAUGGGCGCAAGCCUGAUCCAGCCAUACCGCGUGGGUGAAGAAGGCCUUCGGGUUGUAAGCCCUUUUGUUGGGAAAGAAAUCCAGCUGGCUAAUACCCGGUUGGGAUGACGGUACCCAAAGAAUAAGCACCGGCUAACUUCGUGCCAGCCGCCGCAGUAA